rnacentral:misc_RNA from 1 species
CUAGCUUCACGCGGUUAGUUUAUAUCACGUUUCGCGCUCGGGAGGGCGAUGCAUUUGUGCGUACGAACAUACAACGCACGAACGUAGCCUGUGUGCAUACUGCCAAUACUGUGUUCUCAUUAGGGGAAUUGCCGGUACUGUGAGUUCACCGUGUGUGCAGCUUCUUUCUGGACAAAUGAAGGUAUUUAAAAGAAUUCCAAUGUUGUGUGAAUUUAGUAGGUACUGUGCACAUGCCUGUGUUCCCUCCAUAUCUUAAAAAGGCGUGUUGGGUCUUGAGCAAAAUGACAGUGAUAGCUGGUCACGGCGAUGGUGAAUGGCAAAUGCAACCCGGCACAGCUGCUUGGCAAGUUCGUGCGGUACUGUUUCUUCCCGAGUUCAGCCGCCAGCCGUAAACCUGGGCCUUCUGGUGCGAACAACUGGACGGACACAGCCAAAUGACGUUUCCCUGUUUUAUUCGCUAACACAAGACUCAAUACGUAGUUAAAAUCAUCAACUGUACAAAACAUUUUAUUAAUAUCAGACACCGUGCAUAACUAAAGGCUAUUCAAAAUGUCGGAAAAACGUGAUUUGUGUCGUGAAGACGUUGAGAAAUAUUUGGACACCCAUCAUGAUAUUGCCAUGGAGAUUUUUGCUGCAAAGGCAACACCAGAGUUGGUGGAUGGAUGGCUGUCCAAGCAUUCAGUUGGUCAUGUUGCAAAGAGCAUGUCAAGCCAUGAAAUUGGGUCCUGGCCGGAUGUCUCUGCCUGUGCAUCAAACACAGACAAGCACAAAAUGUUGCACUCCUUACGCAAAAGUUUUGCAGGUGCCAGUGGAAGUUUACGCAGUCUUCUGUCACCAAGGAAACGGAAAGUGGUGCGAAGAAAUAAAUCUGCACUCAAGCAGCUUGAUGAGAAAGAUUUGUUUAUGGAACUGAUUCGUGACAUAGCUGAUGAACUUGACCUACACACGCUCAGCCACAAGAUUCUCAUGAAUGUGAGUAUCUUGACGAAUGGAGAUCGCUGCAGCCUCUUUUUGGCACGUGGAAAUCGUGAUAAUCGCUACCUAGUGUCCAAGCUUUUUGACGUGACGGAGAAUUCAACAGUUGAGGAUGCUCUUCACUCCGAAGAAGAUGAAAUUCGUAUACCCUUUGGACAGGGUAUAGCUGGGCAUGUGGCACAAACCAAGGAGACAGUCAACAUAAAGAAUGCAUAUGAGGAUCCUCGUUUCAAUCCCGAGGUAGACAAGCGAACUGGCUACCGCACCUACAGUAUUCUCUGUAUGCCCAUCAUCAACCACGACGGAGAUGUGAUUGGAGUUGCACAGGUCAUUAACAAGGUCUCCGGCUCCCAUGAGUUCACCAACAAAGAUGAGGAGGUCUUCAGAAACUAUCUGACAUUUUGCGGUAUCGGCAUCAUGAAUGCCCAGCUGUUUGAGAUGUCUGUCAACGAGUACAAACGCAAUCAGAUGCUACUGCAGCUGGCCCGUGGCAUCUUUGAGGAACAGACAUCCCUGGAGAGUGUUGUCCACAAGAUUAUGAAGGAGGCCAUCACACUGCUCAAGUGCGAGCGUUGCUUGGUGUUUCUCCUGGAGGAUCACGACAAAUCGGCCUUUCUGAGUCAGCUCAGAGAAUCGCAGGGUCAGCAGAAGGCACUGGAAUCACCGGUCGCUGUCAAAAGCAACGCCGAUUUGGACCUGACCAAGGAAUUCCAUGCAGGUUUCAGCAAAGCUUUUGACCUCUUGGCUAAGAACAAGGAGGAGGUUAGGCAACCAAGUGAUGACUCGCUGAACAAGUCUGUGUACUCUGAGAUUGCUAAAUACGUGGCACUGACAGGAAAGACCAUCAACAUUGAGAAGUUUGAUAUGCAGUCCAAGUUCAAGCUGGUCGCUGAGGUAGACAUGGACUUCAAGUUGCACACGCUGCUAUGCCAGCCCAUCUACAACAGCCAGAACAAGAUUGUGGGUGUGGCAGAGAUGAUCAACAAGAUUGGGACGGCUCUCAACCCCACCUUUACUGAUCAGGAUGAGAACCUGUUUGAGGCUUUUGCCAUCUUCUGUGGACUGGGCAUCCACAACACACAGAUGUAUGAGAGUGCUGUCAAGCUGAUGGCCAAACAACAGGUAGCGCUAGAGGUCUUGUCCUAUCAUGCGACAGCACAGCAGGAUGAAGUAGAGAAACUCAAGCAAGCCGGCCCGGUGGAGAGCUCAGACAAGUUGAACCUGCACAACUUUACCUUCAAUGACUUCUCCUUGGAGGAGGACGAGACACUACAGGCCUCCAUCUGCAUGUUUGAGGAGUGCAACCUCAUCAACAAGUUUCACAUCCCUUACGAUGUCUUGUGUCGUUGGUUGUUGAGCGUGCGAAAGAACUACCGCCCCGUCAUUUACCACAAUUGGAGACAUGCUUUCAAUGUUGCCCAAACAAUGUUCGCCAUGUUCAAGUCUGGUGGGAUGGGCCAAGUCAUGUCUGACCUGGAGUCAUUUGCUCUGCUAGUUGCCUGUCUCUGCCAUGACCUGGAUCACCGUGGCACAAACAAUGCUUUCCAACUGAAAACAGCCUCAGCUCUGUCCCAGUUAUAUAGCACAUCCACCAUGGAGCAUCAUCACUUUGAUCAUUGUAUCAUGAUCCUCAACAGUGAGGGGAACAAUAUCUUCCAGUUCCUCUCGCCAGAGGACUACCGAGAGUUGAUCCGCAUGCUGGAGAGUGCCAUACUGUCUACUGACUUGGCGCUGUACUUUAAGAAACGCAAUGAUUUCUUCAAACUGGUUGAACAAGGAGUAAAAGACUGGCAUAAUCCGAGGCACAGGGACCUACUGAGGGGGAUGAUGAUGACUGCCUGUGAUGUCUCGGCCAUCACCAAGCCCUGGGAGGUCCAGAGGAGGGUAGCUGAGCUAGUAGCCAGUGAGUUCUUUGAACAGGGUGACAUGGAGCGAGAGCAGCUGAAGGAAGAACCCAUAGCCAUGAUGGAUCGGAAGAAAAAAAGUGAACUUCCCAAGAUGCAAGUGGGGUUCAUUGAUGCAAUAUGUAUGCCAGUGUACAAGAAUCUAGCCUCGAUGCAGCCUCAGCUGGCCCCACUAUACCAGGGCAUGCAACAAAACCGCAGCCAGUGGCAGCAGCUGGCUGACACUGAGGCCCAAAAGACCAUAGAGGCCCAAAAAGCUGAGGAGGAAAAAAAGAAGAGAAAAACCAUCCGGGAGCAGGCCAAGGAGCGAAAUGCGACGGCCAAGGGUGAGAUUGAUUGAAAGAGAAGAAAGAAAAAAAACCUGAUGCAGGAGACUGGAUGAGACGGUCUUCCUUUGGUUCCACUGUGCGUGCGUUGUCUCUCACACUUGGCAUGGGGUCGCUGUCUUCACCACAACCAACAAAGUCACCACCACUACCACUACCACCAUGCCACUUUCAUCCUCAUCUUCACUCAUCUUAUCCGGCCGGUUUUUGCCACUGCUACUGUUGCAUCAUGGCAUGGUUAUCUCCCCCACUGUCUGCUUGGUGUGGAGGGCCCCAUGCUGUUCUACUCUGUUGUGCUAAUGAGCGUCCUCCCUCCCCCUGGCAUGCAUGUGUGACGUGCGUGUGUUCUAUCUCACCUCAUCUCAUCUGGAAUGAUCGAUCGCCUGAUAGCCUUGCUGCACAGACACAUGGCCCACUGUUAUGCAAUUGAUGGUGCCCCAUCUUCAUACUGCCAGUAAUGGAAUGAUACGUGCAUGCUGGAUUUGCCUAUCUUUCUCAGCACUUUUCUUGUUGCCAGCUGCAUGAUAGCUGGUAGAUUUUUUUUCUUCUGCAGUCUGAUAAAAGUGUUUCACCUAUAUGAUGUUUUUUCUUUACUAGGUUCCUUUGAAAAUCCCUGCAGUGUAAUAAGAUAUAUUGAUUUAACCUUAUUCCUUUCCUCAAGUCACCCAAAUUAAGCUAAUAUAGAGAGGAAACAUCUCAUAUUUAGGAAAAUGUAAGGUAAGAGAAAUAAAUUCAAGAAGAAAAUUCAGUCAAAGAGGCCAUUCUUUUUCAAAUGUUCAAUAUUUAUGUGUGCUUUCUGUAAUAUUCCUCUCUCAUUUCUGAAUUGGAAGAAACAUGCUUGAAAUAAUCCAUUUUAUUAUGAGAUUACUCUUCUGAUCAAAGUAUCCUAAAGUAUUCCAAAAAUAGUGUCAUCUCUUUCAGUGCUUAGUCCUAUAUCGUUUGCAUUUAAACAGUAGCAUAACGAACUUUCCAGAAGUCAAAGUAAUUCUAGCUAAUUUUGCCAUAUCAUUAUCACAUUGUGCUCUCAUACACCAUUUUGUACUGUUCUUUACAUUGUUUCCUUUCUCAAGAGUAAGUAUUAAAAACCCCACUCUGCCAUGUAAAUUACCCCAAAUGGCAUGGGACCUCAAUGGCUUGACCACAUCUCUACCAGUCUGUGGCUGAAAACAAAUGGACUCAGUGGUGCAGCAUGAUGUGUUAGCCCAGGCUUGCUGAGGUCAGACUGAGGUCAUUCUAAGAUCAUCCUAAGGUCAACGCAUGAAAGGCAAUCAGUGACUCUGCAUGUUGGUUCAUUCCCACACACACACCCACACACAGAGUGCCCCAAGCAUGUCACUCUUUAUGCCACACCAGUCUCAGACAUGUUCUAUUUCUUCCAGCUGUAGUGAGUGAAAGACACUGCCUCGUGAGCUUCUUAACGUCCGUUCUGGAUCUGACCAUACUAAGGAUUUGACUGGCCAACAUCAGGCCAGUGUUGUAGUUCGGCUACUCUAAGUCUCUAAUGCACACACUCCUACUUGACAAGUUAUUUUGUGCUUGCCAAGCCCCACUUACCAAAAUGAACUCCCCCGUUACUGUACAAAGUUGCAGUGCAAUUAUAUUUGUACAUCUCAAACCAGAAUGUUCUUAUCUAUUCGAUUGUAUUCUAUCCUAUCCUUGUACUAGGACCUAAGUCCAUGCACAAUUGUUGAUGUGCCCUUUCUUAGAAUUAUGGAAAAUAUUGGACUACAAUACUGUGUAAGGCUUACCAGUACUUGUGCUCUAUUUUGUCUCAUUUAUAUGGCCCAGUGUAUUUGCAUUGAAAAAACACCAAACCUAUUCAGGGUUCAGUCAUCUCUAGAAGGUCUAGAUUCCUUCAGUUUUGGGAAAAAGGCAAAGUCCCCCUCCUCAACAAAUUGUAUACUUGAAGCUAAAUCUAAACUGCAUUUUAGUGUUGGCAUUUUCUAAUGUGUUCCAGUGAAGUUGUUGAGAUAGGAUGUAUGCAAAUUUGAUUUUAUUUAGUUUUCAAACAGUUACUGAAAAUAGGUCUACAAAGUUUCACAUGAUAGGGCAGAACUCUCGCCGCAUGAUACCUCAUUUCAUUUUGUUAGGCUUUACUUGACUGAAAAAAAGUUACAAAACAGCACAUUAGAAGGGUGAAGUCUAAUGAUAUGGGAUUUUAUCUAAAAAUAAAAAAUAUCUUGGAAAUCAUGUUAGAAUAACUGUUUCCACAUGUCUCUGUGUUGACACCCAGUUGCCUUUUUAUUUUUUUCCCUAUCAUCUUUCACACCCUUUGGACGAGCAGUUUAGAAUGUGCACUGCGGCCCGUGUGUGCCGACAUAACCCUAUGAGAAAGCCUAUCUCGCCAAGCAGGCUCAGGAAGAAGCCGCCUCAUCAAAGGGAGUAGAAGCCGCAACCCAGAGCAAGAACCAGAGG